UCGAUUUCCUUGAAACAAAAAGAAAGGCAAGAAAGAAUGUCAAAGGAGUCGAUGUUCAGGAAACUGUGAGGUCUUCCAACAGAGGUUUCUGAACAUUAAUAUUUGUCUCCCUAAAAGUAAGGCACAAAGUUCAAAAAAACGUUUUUUCUAGUUUUGGUCUGACUUUUAAUUUUUCAACAGCUUAGAAAAAGUCCCCAAAACAGGAGGUUGCUACUGGGGUCAAGGAGAGAAGGCCGUGGUGGCUGAAGUCAGGAAGAUAUUGGAGCCAGGAAGCCUGACUCGCCUGUGUUCUGAAGCCUGAUCCAAAAGCUUCCACACUGUGGACCUGCCAUGGGGGCCGAGUGUGGCCGCUUGCAUUCCCUUGACCGAGCCUGGAAGUCGCCUUCUGCUCUAGAUUCGAAGUAUCUCCCAUUUUGCUGCUCCCCUUUCAGCAGUCUCCGUGGUUCUUCCAUCACUACAGCCAGAAGUUGAGUUACAGGAAGAUUUGCCAGAGAUUUAUCGCCUAGCCUCAAACUUGGAGAGCCUUGUUGUCAUAAACAGCCAUCUAUUGUCUAGACUUUUAUCUCCGGGUAUGGAUCAUGCAUUAUUGAGGCUCAGGAGACUCAGGCCUGACUAUGUGGGGUGUGUGUGCAGCCCCCCUGCCCAAUAGGGGCUCCUGGUGGGUAGGUUUAGCAGGGGACGCAAAUGUGCAUGUGCCUUUGGAGCUAGGCAGUUUCACCUGAGUGUCCCAGGGUGGGAGCUGGAAAUAGGGAAGGACUGCCUGUGCCUGGGAACAUUCUGGUACAUGUACUUGUGUGUUGGGUGAGAAUUUGUCACGGUAUGCUUUGUUUCUGGGGCAUUUUAAGUGUUCCUGUCUGGGAUUUUGCGGGUUUUAUUAACCUGCAUCCGCUUGGCCUGUUUAUGUCUCUUCGAAGCAGAUCAUCUGGUGUUUUUCAAUUUUGGGCCCAUUGUGUGUGUGUGUGUGUGUGUGUGUGUGUGUUUAGCUUCUCCGAGAAAAAGGGUUUGGGUGAUACCUUUCCAGUCCCUUUCCCUCAGAUUCCUGCACCCACCCUAAAUCACACCUCAAUCUCUACCUUCACCACAGCAUCUGGCCCUGCUCCACUCACUGCCAGUCCCUAGUCUCCCCAGUGGCUACCAAUUUUCUGUGCCAGGCACAAAAUACAUCUUUGCAGGAUAAGGUCUGGCUAUCUCUGUCUUUCCCACAUUAGGGAAAAGUCCCAGCUCCUAAUAAACUCCCUCCCUUCCUAGGGCUCCCUUUCCCUGGGCUGAGGGAAACCUCAGAAAGGGCUUCCCCAGUCCAUUCUGUCCUUUAAAAGUACUCUCCACAGAACUCUAGAGAGUGCCAGAGAGGGCCUGCCGCUCCCUCCCUGGGACUUCCUGGCUUCAAAUGUCCUUAUCCUGGCCACCUCCUCAGCCCCCAGAGCCCAGGCAGUAGGAGGUUUGCCCAGAUUAAAUGUCCAUAGGAGAGACACUUAUCACCUUAGAGCUCAGGGUCAGAGGCUGUUUUUGAAAGCCAGGCUCCUUUAACACCAGCAGAAAUAAUCAAAUCCUCCCCCUUUGUUUUUCAUUAUCAGAACACAGGGUGGGAGGGCUGCCGGCUGUGGAGGCCUGGGAGCUCCCCGACCACCCUCACUGCUCCUGGCUGCUCCCACCUGGGCCCCAGGCCCCACUUCAGGUUCCAGAGAGCCCUUAGGUGCCCUCAACCAG
ensembl:lncRNA